rnacentral:rRNA from 1 species
GACAGAGGAUGCGAACGUUAUUCGGAAUCACUGGGCUUAAAGCGCGUGUAGGCGGGCCGGCACGUCGGCCGCUGAAAGCCCCCGGCUCAACCGGGGAAGCGGCGCCGAUACGACCGGCCUGGAGGGGGGUAGGGGGAGCCGGAACUCACGGUGGAGCGGUGAAAUGCGUUGAGAUCGUGAGGAACGCCCGUGGCGAAAGCGGGCUCCUGGGCCCCGCCUGACGCUGAGACGCGAAAGCCAGGGGAGCGAACGGG